GUGCUUGCUUUGGCAACACAUAUACUAAAAUUGGAAUGAAACAGAGAAGAUUAGCAUGGCCCCCAUGCAAGGAUGACACACAAAUUCAUGAAACAUUCCAUAUUUUU
ensembl:snRNA U6 U6 spliceosomal RNA